rnacentral:rRNA from 1 species
UGGGGAAUCUUGGACAAUGGGGGGAACCCUGAUCCAGCCAUGCCGCGUGUGUGAAGAAGGCCUUAUGGUUGUAAAGCACUUUAAGCGAGGAGGAGGGUACUGGUAUUAAUACUACCAGGUACUGGACGUUACUCGCAGAAUAAGCACCGGCUAACUCUGUGCCAGCAGCCGCGGUAAUACAGAGGGUGCGAGCGUUAAUCGGAUUUACUGGGCGUAAAGCGUGCGUAGGCGGCUAAUUGAGUCGGAUGUGAAAUCCCCGAGCUUAACUUGGGAAUUGCAUUCGAUACUGGUUAGCUAGAGUGUGGGAGAGGAUGGUAGAAGUCCAGGUGUAACGGUGAAAUGCGUAGGGAUCUGGAGGAAUACCGAUGGCGAAGGCAGCCAUCUGGCCUAACACUGACGCUGAGGUACGAAAGCAUGGGGAGCAAACAGG